rnacentral:rRNA from 2 species
GAUUUCACGUUUGAGGCUAAGACCGGGUCCUUUACGGGGCUCUGCGUCCCAAUCCUCUACGUUCCUAGCCCGGAUGCUUUCUGGCGUUCUUAAAUGGGCGCCGGGGGGUGUUUGGGAUCAUUUACUGUGAAAAAAUUAGAGUGUACAAUGCAGGCAAUCGCUAUUGAAUACAUUAGCAUGGAAUAAUAAUCUAGGACUUCGGUUCUGUUUGUUGGUUUCCUGGGAUUGAAGUAAUGAUUGGCAGGGAUAGUUGGGGGUGCUCGUAUUGAGUGGCCAGAGGUGAAAUUCUUGGAUUCACUCAAGACGGACAACAGCGAAAGCAUU